rnacentral:rRNA from 1 species
GAUGAACGCUAGCGGCAGGCCUAAUACAUGCAAGUCGGACGGGAUUCAGGAGCUUGCUUCUGCUGAGAGUGGCGCACGGGUGCGUAACACGUAUGUAACCUACCUUUAUCAGGGGGAUAGCCUCUCGAAAGAGAGAUUAAGCCCGCAUAAAAUCACAGCACAGCCUUGUGUAAUGAUCAAAUAUUUAUAGGAUAAAGAUGGGCAUGCGGAACAUUAGCUAGAUGGCGGGGUAACGGCCCACCAUGGCGACGAUGUUUAGGGGAUCUGAGAGGAUGGCCCCCCACACUGGUACUGAGACACGGACCAGAAUCCUACGGCAGGCAGCAGUAAGGAAGAUUGGUCAAUGGGCGGAAGCCUGAACCAGCCAUGCCGCGUGCAGGAAGACGGCCCUACGGGUUGUAAACUGCUUUUAUACGGGAAUAAACCCAGAUACGUGUAUCUGGCUGAAUGUACUGUAAGAAUAAGGAUCGGCUAACUCCGUG